rnacentral:rRNA from 1 species
UACGAAGGGCCCGAGCGUUGCGCGGAAUUACUGGGCUUAAAGCGUACGUAGGCGGGCGUGCAGGCACUUUGUGAAAUCCCCCGGCUCAACCGGGGAAUAGCUUGGUGAACCGCACGUCUUGAGACAAGUAGGGGCUGUCGGAACGAUAGGUGGAGCGGUGAAAUGCGUUGAUAUCUAUCGGAACGCCGAAGGUGAAGACAGGCAGCUGGGCUUGUUCUGACGCUGAGGUACGAAAGCGUGGGGAGCGAACGGG